GGAGAUGAUCGUGGACUUCAGGAAACAGCAGAGGGAGCACCUCCCCAUCCACGGGACAGUAGUGGAGAAGGUGGAAAGUUAAGUUCUUCGGUGUACACAUCACGGACAAACUGAAAUGGUCCACCCACACAGACAGUGUGGUGAAGAAGGUGCAACAGCGCCUCUUCAACCUCAGGAGACUGAAGAAAUGUGGCUUGUCAUCUAAAACACUCAAACUUUUACAGAUGCACAAUUGAGAGCAUCCUGCCGGGCUCUAUCACCGCGUGGUACAGCAAUUGCACCGCCCACAACCGCAAGGCUCUCCAGAGGGUAGUGCGGUCUGCACAACGCAUCACCGGGGGCAAAUUACCUGCCCUCCAGGAGACCUACAGCACCUGAUGUCACAGAAAGGCCAAAAAGAUCAUCAAGGACAACAACCACCUGAGCCACUGCCACAGAAGGCGAGGUGCACUAUCCUCCUGACCCUAUGCAGCUGUGACAGGUGUCAACAUCCCACAGCUGGUUGGACUGGAGGAUGAUAUGGUGCUGGUGGAAAGCUGAGGCUGGCAACAACACCUGACUCCGUACUUCAGGCCGCUGCCACAGAUCAAGCAGUACCAGCACUUCAGGAGCGUUCGAACUCAGUCGGGACCAGGUUUCAGCUGCUGCGCAAUGAUGACAUCCAUCCUCCCAUAUAUGGUCUGCCUGUACAAACACCACCAGGACUGAACACAGCUAGACAAACAUAUAUUUUUGAGAAGAUCAGGGAGUUUUGCGACGAAGAGGCUAUGGACAUCACAUGCCCUGCACCAAAGUCAAGGGCAGGACAGAAACAGGCUCUCCGAAUAUAGAUUCCCUUGUUCAUGUGUGGUUUGGACGGACCAGUCAUCAGCACUAUCUGCAAUGCCUCUAUUCAAAUGACUCUCUCCUAACACACAUGCCAUACGUUCCUGCUACUAUUUCUUGUUUUAUUCCUGCUGUUCAGCCACUUUACCACUGAUUGUAUGCAUACAAUUACCUCGUCUAUCACUGAUAUCAUUAUUCAUAUUGUUCUUGUACAUACUGUAUAUUAUUUUACUUAUAUUGACACUAUUUCUGAUAUUGCUACUAUACAAGUAACCAUUUGGCUGUACCGUUUACACCUUCUGUAGAGACCCAUCCACUUAGCAAGAUGUGGCCAGUUGUGUAAAGUACUAAAGUAAAAAUACUUAAUGUUUUGGGGAGGGUAUCUGUACUUUACCAUUUAUAUUUGUUGCAACGUUUAC